rnacentral:rRNA from 1 species
GAUGAACGCUGGCGGCGUGCCUAAUACAUGCAAGUCGAGCGAACGGACGAGAAGCUUGCUUCUCUGAUGUUAGCGGCGGACGGGUGAGUAACACGUGGAUAACCUACCUAUAAGACUGGGAUAACUUCGGGAAACCGUAGCUAAUACCGGAUAAUAUUUUGAACCGCAUGGUUCAAAAGUGAAAGACGGUCUUGCUGUCACUUAUAGAUGGAUCCGCGCUGCAUUAGCUAGUUGGUAAGGUAACGGCUUACCAAGGCAACGAUGCAUAGCCGACCUGAGAGGGUGGUCGGCCACACUGGAUCUGAGACACGGUCCAGACACCUACGGGAGGAAGCAGUAGGGAAUCUUCCGCAAUGGGCGAAAGCCGGACGGAGCAACGCCGCGUGAGUGAUGAAGGUCUUCGGAUCGUAAAACUCUGUUAUUAGGGAAGAACAUAUGUGUAAGUAACUGUGCACAUCUUGACGGUACCUAAUCAGAAAGCCACGGCUAACUACGUG